AGGAGUGCUAAUACCCGGUAUGGCGCAGCGGUCUUCGGAUCGCGGCGAGAAAGACCCGCAAGGGUUGCCAGAGGACGAGCCUGCGGCCCAUCAGCUAGUUGGCGAGGUAACGGCUCACCAAGGCGAAGACGGGUAGCUGGUCUGAGAGGAUGAUCAGCCACACUGGAACUGAGACACGGUCCAGACUCCUACGGGAGGCAGCAGUGGGGAAUAUUGCGCAAUGGGCGAAAGCCUGACGCGGCCACGCCGCGUGAGCGAUGAAGGCCUCGGUCGUAAGACUCUGUGGGAGGAGAAGAAUAAAGACCUGUGAAGAGCAGGCCUUGACGGUAGUCUCCUUAGCAAGCACCGGCUAACUCCGUCG
rnacentral:rRNA from 1 species